AUUGAACGCUGGCGGCAGGCCUAACACAUGCAAGUCGAGCGAGCGGCGGACGGGUGAGUAAUGUAUGGGGACUGCCCGAUAUAGGGGGAUAACUACUGGAAACGGUGGCUAAUACCGCAUACUAUCGGAUAACCCAUAUGGGAUUAGCUAGUAGGGGGGGUAAAGGCUCACCUAGGCGACGAUCUCUAGCUGGUCUGCGAGGCUGAUCAGCCACACUGGGACUGAGACACGGCCCAGACUCCUACGGAGGCAGCAGUGGGGAAUAUUGCGCAAUGGGGGCAAGCCUGAUGGAGCCAUGCCGCGUGUAUGAAGAAGGCCUUAGGGUUGUAAAGUUCUUUCAGUAGGGAGGCGUUACCCGAAGAAGAAGCACCGGCUAACUCCGUGCCAGCAGCCGCGGUAAUUC
rnacentral:rRNA from 1 species